rnacentral:rRNA from 1 species
UCAGGCAGCAAUGUCUGAGAAACGUUCACUGUGAACAAAUCAGGACGCUUAGAGUAUGGUUACAAGAAUGACUCAGCGCAGUAUGAAUUUUUUGUUUUCUUCGGAAAACAAGCUCAACGAGAGCCAUCGGGGGUAGAUCUAUCUCAUGACGAGUGGUGGAAUACGGUGACUCAUGAGAGAGACACGGAGGCGAAGGCGUCUACCUAGAGGGUUUCUGUCGAUCAAGGGCGAGAGUAGGAGUAUCCAACAGGAUUAGAGACCCUGGUAGUUCCUACUAUAAACGAUGCCGACAGGAGUUUGUCAUUUAAUAAUGGCAGAAUCUUUGGAGAAAUCAUAGUUCUUGGGCUCUGGGGGAACUACGACCGCAAGGCUGAAACUUGAAGGAAUUGACGGAAGGGCACACCAGGGGUGGAGCCUGUGGCUUAAUUUGAAUCAACACGGGGAAACUUACCAGGACCAGAUGUUUUUUAUGACUGACAGGCUUCGGGUCUUUCAGGAUAUGAUUUUUGGUGGUGCAUGGCCGUUGGUGGUGCGUGGGUUGACCUGUCUAGCGUUGAUUCAGCUAACGAGCGAGAUUAUCGCCAAUUAUAUACUACGCCUAGGUU